rnacentral:rRNA from 1 species
UAGGGAAUCUUCGGCAAUGGACGAAAGUCUGACCGAGCAACGCCGCGUGAGUGAAGAAGGUUUUCGGAUCGUAAAACUCUGUUGUUAGAGAAGAACAAGGACGUUAGUAACUGAACGUCCCCUGACGGUAUCUAACCAGAAAGCCACGGCUAACUACGUGCCAGCAGCCGCGGUAAUACGUAGGUGGCAAGCGUUGUCCGGAUUUAUUGGGCGUAAAGCGAGCGCAGGCGGUUUCUUAAGUCUGAUGUGAAAGCCCCCGGCUCAACCGGGGAGGGUCAUUGGAAACUGGGAGACAUGAGUGCAGAAGAGGAGAGUGGAAUUCCAUGUGUAGCGGUGAAAUGCGUAGAUAUAUGGAGGAACACCAGUGGCGAAGGCGGCUCUCUGGUCUGUAACUGACGCUGAGGCUCGAAAGCAUGGGGAGCAAACAGG